rnacentral:rRNA from 1 species
UACGGGGGGGGCAAGCGUUGUUCGGAAUUACUGGGCGUAAAGGGCUCGUAGGUGGCCAACUAAGUCAGACGGGAAAUCCCCAGGCUCAACCUGGGAACUGCGUCUGAUACUGGAUGGCUUGAAUUCGGGAGAGGGAUGCAGAAUUCCAGGUGUAGCGGUGAAAUGCGUAGAUAUCUGGAGGAAUACCGGUGGCGAAGGCGGCAUCCUGGACCGAUAUUGACACUGAUGAGCGAAAGCCAGGGGAGCAAACGGG